rnacentral:rRNA from 1 species
GAUGAACGCUGGCGGCGUGCCUAAUACAUGCAAGUCAAGCGAACGGACGAGAGGCUUGCUUCUCUUAUGUUAGCGGCGGACGGGUGAGUAACACGUGGAUAACCUACCUAUAAGACUGGGAUAACUUCGGGAAACCGGAGCUAAUACCGGAUAAUAUUUUGAACCGCAUGGUUCAAAAGUGAAAGACGGUCUUGCUGUCACUUAUAGAUGGAUCCGCGCUGCAUUAGCUAGUUGGUAAGGUAACGGCUUACCAAGGCAACGAUGCAUAGCCGACCUGAGAGGGUGAUCGGCCACACUGGAACUGAGACACGGUCCAGACUCCUAAGGGAGGCAGCAGUAGGGAAUCUUCCGCAAUGGGCGAAAGCCUGACGGAGCAACGCCGCGUGAGUGAUGAAGGUCUUCGGAUCGUAAAACUCUGUUAUUAGGGAAGAACAAAUGUGUAAGUAACUGUGCACGUCUUGACGGUACCUAAUCAGAAAGACACGGCUAACUACGUG